GUGUAAGUAUGAACAAAUUCAGACUGUAAAACUGCGAAUGGCUCACUAAAUCAGUUAUAGUUUGUUUGAUGGUAUCUACUACUCGGAUAACCGGAGUAAUUCUAGAUCUAAUACGUGUAACAAACCCCGACUUCUGGAAGGGAUGCAUUUAUUAGAUAAAAGGUCGACGUGGGCUCUGCCCGUUGCUGCGAUGAUUCAUGAUAACUAAAUAGAUUGCACGACCAUCAUGCCUUUCGACCUCUAACCAUGAUGGUCGAG
rnacentral:ncRNA from 1 species